ACCUGGCUGGCUCAGUCAGAAGAGCAUGAGACUCUUGAUCUUGGGGUAGUGAGUUUGAGCCCCACGAUGGGUG
rnacentral:tRNA from 1 species